rfam:Caedibacter sp. 38-128 SCNpilot_expt_500_p_scaffold_83, whole genome shotgun sequence.
AAAUCAUUAUAUAAACGUCAGUCAGCGAUAUUCGCCCACUGACGCAUUAUUU